rnacentral:lncRNA from 1 species
AUGGCUGCGGUGUUUUCACGUGGUUUCCGUCAUCCGAGCUUGCUGCUCGUGGUGCUUGAUGACAACCCGUUGGCGUGGUGGCGGCGAUUUCACUGGUGCCUGUUCGAGAGCUCCCAAUGCUUAGGUUCCAUUGGUCAAGAUUCGCAUGAUUUCUCUUCCCCUUCCCCGUACGUCGAUCCAAGAAGACAGCAGUUCAUAUGCCACCAUUCGAGUUUUUUAGUGGGUUUGGGGAUCUGGAUUAGGGCUCCUUCUUUCUAUAUGUUUCCUACCAGCUUGUUCCAUGCAGGGUUUGUUGUUCGGGUUGAGCUCACGCUCCUCAGAUUUAACGAUGAACUCCGUGGACACCACUUGCUGAGUCCGGUGUUGCUUACUCCAAAAUAUACGGCUCAGCAGCAGACCUCCGUUUUGCGCAGUCUUUGUAGAGUCCACCGAAUGGGGAUUACCGGUUUGUCAAGCGGGCUGCACGCUGAAGGAGGCCCAAGGUUGCAUUCGUCGCGGCAUUUCCGCAGCUCCCUGUCGAUGUGCACCUUAUUUGCUGUGUGGUUUCAUUAUGAAGUUUGUAGCCUUAGUGCAGGUUUCCAUUCUUUAGAAACGGAUGGUUUUAUGCUCUUUCUUUAUCUAUUUGGCAAUGUACUGGGAUUUAUUCCCGUGAACUCUGUCGGUUUAUAUUAAUGGAUGUUUA